AGAUGGAUUGGAAAACGGAACUUGGUAUUCACGAUGAUGGGCAACUUGGUAUUCUCGAUUUCAAUUUCAGUCCCUCAAUUCAAAAAGUACUUUUGAGUCUAGAAAUGGAAGACAAUGAGUUAUAUGUGUAGAAAUGAGAAGAAAUUGAGAAAUGAAGUUUUCCCAGGAAAAGGAAUCCUGAAUGAAGUAGGAAUCCUAAGUCAACUAGGAGUAAGCUCGGAAAAAUGAUGUUCGGAAAUGAAAAAUGGAAAUGUCCCAGUUGGACUAGGAAACCUGAUCACACUAGAAGUCCUGAUGAUACUAAGAGACCUGGGAAGACUAUGAGAUGUUGUGGCUUGAAGAUGACUCAAGAUUGUUCAAGAAUAUUCUAGAAUGCACAAGAAUUUCGACAUAAAUGAAGAUGGGCUUUGAAAAUGACCAAUUGAGAAGCCUGGCCCAAAGAUUGAAGCAUGUGACUUGCACAUGAGUCUGUAGAUCCUUCUUGACGUCUUGGAGGAAUUCUUGGCCCAUUAAUAUUGAUUUUUCCGUGAGAAAUAAAGGGAAUAAAGAAAAUAUUUCGGCAAGAGUUCAAAAAGGGAGAGUUUUGGAGAAAAUCUAAUUCGUGUGAUUUUUGAAAAAGAAAAUAAAGAGAAUAAAUAUUGAUUCAGGUUUUUUUAUUCCAUAGGAGUUGAAUGAAGACCAAAUUGAGGGAAGAUGAAUGGAAGAUUUCGGCAAUGAAGAAGAUGACUUGUUCUUCAAUUCUUAUGGAAUUUUCUCAUUGGCCGAAUGAUGCAAUCAAGAAGAGAAAUCCUAGGAAACCCUAGGGUUGCCGUGCACUAUAUAUAGGGAGGUUUGUGAAGAUGUUUAAUGCACCACAAAAUUUAGAAUCAAACACCACAAUUCGUCCCCUUCAUCCUCCAAAGUUUCAGCAACUUCAUAAUCUCCAAAGUUCAAGACCGUGAAGCAUCCUUAUCUCCAUUCAAGCAUCCUUGCCGUGAGCCACCUUCCAUUCCACCACCUUUGAAGCUUCAUGCAUCCUUGAAGAAUUCAAAAGUGUAACCAUGAAUCUCUCUUUUAUGUUUUCGGUUUUGAUACUUUGUAAAACCAUUUCGGUUUUCAUAUUGA